rnacentral:lncRNA from 1 species
GAUUUGUGAGACAUGGAGGCUAUUUUUAGAAGCCCUGGGGUCCUGUCUGGUACACAAGAAGCCUCAGGAGGAUGCAUUUGGCAGACUGGUGGAGGUCUUGGACAAGAUCUGGAAGAAUUAUCUGGAUUACCAGAUUCUGUAUCCUCAGUUCCUUAGCUGAAUGGUUGACACAGUUGAAGCAGUCAAUAACAUUUGAUGAAUAAAUGAAUGGAUACAUGAAAUACUGAAUGAAUGAGUAGAAGAUAGAGAGGAGAAUUAAGUCUUAUUUUACUAUGUGGAGUUUGGAAGGGAAAACAAACAUUUCUUAGGAAAUGCCAAUAAUCACCUAUAUUUAA